rnacentral:tRNA from 1 species
GCCGGGGUGGCGGAAUUGGUAGACGCGCUGGUCUCAAACACCAGUGAGGAUUUCCUCAUGUCGGUUCGAACCCGACCCUCGGUACAA